GCUCACAGAGGCUGUGCAGGCUCCUGUGAGUCUGGGCCUAGCGGGUGGGUUUCCCUCCUCAGGCAGCAGGACCAGCUCCAACAGGAGGCAGCGCUGCACGAGCUAAGGAAGCUCUUGACGGCCAGCCAGGAAGCCCUGCUGCAGGACCCCGCAUGCUUGGGGGCACCCCAUGACCACCUGUCUGGGCAGGAUGAGGCCCUCAUGGGCCAGCACAGCCACCUGAGACACUGCCGCAUUGGUCCCUAGAGAUGGAGAGCCAGGCGGUCAGGCUGAGGCAGCAGGACCAGCUCCAGUAGGAGGCAGCGCUGUAGGAGCAGGAGGCCAAGGCCCUGGCUGCCCAGGAGAACGAGAGGCUGCCAUAGGAGGUAGACAGGAGCAGAUUCCCAGCAGUGGAGUCACAGGGGCGUGUGGUGUGUGAGACAUUGCUGAUCUGGGUUUUAGGUGCUCACCCAUGUGAGGCAGACCUUGGAGGAAGAAAAACGUAAGUUCAGGAGCCAGAUCAAGAUGUUGGCCAAGCAGAACCGGAGACUUCUAGAAGAGAGUGCGGAGAACAAGGCUCGGUGCAUGUAAGGGGCGGGGGCUGACCGACACCUGUCCACACAGGGCUCCUGGCUUCCAGCUCCACGCCCAGGCCUCGACAUUCUGGGCAGAGAACCCCCUGGUGCACUCGUGUCCCAAGGGCAAGGGACAGACCAUCGCCCAGUGCAUCCUUCUCUUGUUUCUUGGAAUGGUUCUAGCUUUCUGCAAGGAGGGGUGUUUGGCUUUUGUUGGCUUUUCAAAGACAGUGCCCAUUGCCAGACAAUUCUUAAUCUGCUUUUGGAAUUAAGUUCAAUUUAAAAACAUGACAGAGAUACCUAGAGAAGGAAUUCAGAUUGCAGGCUCAGCCCUUUGUGUCUGAUUUCCCCUUAAUGGGCUGGAGAGAGGGUUGUGGGUGCAUUGUGGUUGUCCUCCCUCUGACAACAGGACACAGACCUGUGAGGCACACAGAACCAAUGACCCGAUGGCCAGGAGCCAGGAGGUGUGAUGGGAUGUGAGCAGAGCUGUGUGCACACCAGGUAAGUGUUGAGGAGCUCCAUGGAGGCAUAGAAGGCAGCAUGGUGGUGGGAGUUAGAAUUCUGCUGCUAACAAGGCUAGCCAGUGGGGGAGGUGAAGCUGGAGCGUGACGUGGUCCGUGUGCAGGGAAGUGCCGGCAGUGGCAGAAGGGAAGGCUGGCAUAGGCGGUGCUCAGCUGUGGAGGACAUCCAUGCCCCGCUAAUGAUUUGGAUUCACUUGAAGUAUUUAAGAGAUGCUGGUCAACAAGUCUGGGGGAGCUGCCAGAAAUGAGGCAGGAGGAAGAGGCUUGGUGCGGGAAAUCUUGUGGUUUGGAUGUCAAGUAAUCCGAGAUGCACCUGGUGGGUCCAUGGUGGUCUUCACCCCUCAGUGUUGUGCUGCUGGACUGUCCUUGCUUGUGAUCGGGACUGGCUGGCCAUGAGGGACAGAGAGACAUGGUCACAGUAACCACAGGGGCACUGGCCCAGCCCCUGGGGGUCACGAUGCUGCUUCACUGUUCUCCUGGAGUCUUCUGCUCGUCUACAAGUGGCUCACCACCUACCAAGAAUGGUCUACAUGGAAAACCACACUACAGUUUUGGUGUAGAAAUGACUGUGGCCUGAAAUUGGCUCUCUAUAAUGCAGCUGGUAAAAAUUACCAACAGAGGUCAGGCAGGUGCUAACUAGAAGAGCAGAGCCUGGUACAGAGGAGGAUGAUCUGAUGAUGGUUUCACAUUAGACAGUGUCUGCAGGAGGCCAGGGAGUUGGCAGGCUUCCUGAGUCUGCUCCUAGUGGAGUCGUCCCCAGCACGGGGAAGGUUGCAGGGCCUGCCAUCCGUGAUUUUGGGUGCCUAGGGGUGGGGGGGUCGGUCAGAGCCAGACAAGAAAGCACUGUAGCACAAGGCCAAGCAGCAGGGCUGUGGGAGAACACCACAGACUAGAAGACCAGAUGCUGAGCCAAGGGCGCUGGGAGCAGAGCAAGGUCAGUGGUCAGGGGCCCAGCUGUUUGUGAACCAUCACUGUUCAUGGGCUGCUUACUUCAUGGUGAGCUCUCAGAAAAGCCCUCGUAUUAGGUGGGACCUCAUGAGCCUCAUGGCUGAAGGAGCCUGAGCAGCUGCCUCAAUCCAGCAGAAAACCAGGGUCUGACUUGUCUAGGCCCACGCAUUUCUGAGCUGAGGUUCAGACGGUUCAAGGUUUGCUCUCCUGAGAUGGUGUACAGCCUGACCCUCGAUGCUUCAGCAGGUCUUGUCGACAUUUAGGGUUCCCAGACCCACGUCACGUCCUUCCAUCCCCAUAUUCCCAACUCCGUAAUCAUGACAGUCAUGAGCACCAUGAUGUCUGAGUCCCAGAAAAAUGCCGGCCAUUCUCAGCCAGGUCCCAGCCUGGGCCAGUGAGUCAAUUUACGUGUUCUAUUGUAAAAACAAGAUUGUUUUUUCUUUUGCCUCUGUUUAUAGAGACAAGUUCAAUGCCUUACAUACAAUAAAGGAAGAAGAGGAGUACACAAUUAUGGAUCAAUACAAGUCCCAGGAUCCUAUUCCCAAGAAGACACUCCCCCAGUUUCCGGGAUGAUGUGCUAAUGACCUCCUCAGGAAGACCACGAUCUCCUAAUAAUCAGAGGCCAGCCAGGCCUACCUGCCAGGAGAGAAGGGGCCAGGAUGCCCUCCAGCUUGGUGCCCCCUCAGGAUGACUGUCAAUACCUCUGAGGGGAAGCUGUCUGUAAAACUCGUGACUCCAGACACUUUCUGCACUUUGUGAAACAAUGGGUGUUAGGGAUGCUCGAGGAGUUCAUUGCUCAGGACUCUCCACACAGCUCAGCACUGGCAGCUGCAGCACAGAUGACAAGAGGGUGGGUGAAUCAUCAGAGUCCACGGACUGGAGAUGCUACAAGUGUAAAAAUUACCAGCAUCACAUCACAGAAGUCUCUGAGUCUCAUCAAGGAACCCCCACUCCUGAUAGAAGGCGAUGGCCAUGUCCUCAAAGUUCAUAUCUGUUCUGGACACUGCGACCUGGGCUGUGGGACCUGAGCGGCACUUGCACCCGAGGCUGGAGGGUUCAAUGGGGUGAGACUGAGUGGACUCUGUCAGCGGAGAGGAGUCUGGGCGGCACGGAGAUGCCAAUCCUCGGUGUUGGGCUCAACAGGCUCAGACCCACCUUUCGCAGUGGAGACACUGCCUCCCGAACCUCCUCCUACUCGUGCCCAAUGCCCAACGGGAGUGCUGAACCCCAUAGGUCCGUUAAUGGAAGCCAAAACCUCCCCCAGGAGGAACAUACCGGAAGCUACUUUAUUUUUUUAAUCAAAAUAUGCAGGGGAAAAACACCUUGCAUGGAAACAGAAACACCUGAUAUGUCUACUGAGCCAAAACCACUGGAAAUGUAAAAAAAAUAAAUAAAAAUCCAAUAGUCAUGUAGGACAGAGCUACAUCAAUAAUAGAAUAGAGAGUUCCAUCAAGAUGGCAGUGUAGGUAAACAUGGGACUUGCCACCUUCCACAACCACAUCAAAAUUACAACUAAAAUACAGAACAACCAUCAUUCAGAGCCACCAGAAAUCUGGCUUACUGGAAGUCCUACAACUAAGGACAUCCAGACUGGUAGGAAAGGCGAAGACACAGGGCAGAAUCUCUGAACCAGCUGGUCCCACAGCCACAUGUGGUGUUUUAAAAU